CCCUUAGAUGUUCUGGGCCGCACGCGCGCUACACUGAUGCAUUCAACGAGUCUAAAACCUGGUCUGAUAGGGCUGGGUAAUCUUUUGAAUGUGCAUCGUGAUUGGGAUAGAUGAUUGCAAUUCUUCAUCUUCAACGAGGAAUGCCUAGUAAACGCAAGUCAUCAGCUUGCAUUGAUUACGUCCCUGCCCUUUGUACACACCGCCCGUCGCUCCUACCGAUUGAAUGUUCCGAUGAAUACCAUGGACUGAGGGUAUGAAUGGGUUCGCCUAUUUCUGCUUCUCGGGAAGUGGAGUAAAUCUUAACAUUUAGAGGAAGGAGAAGUCGUAACA
rnacentral:rRNA from 1 species